rnacentral:rRNA from 1 species
AGCAGCCGCGGUAAUUCCAGCUCCAAUAGCGUAUAUUAAAGUUGUUGCAGUUAAAAAGCUCGUAGUUGAAUUUCGGGAUCAAUAUUUCGGUCAUGCCGUUGGUAUGCACUGUUAUCAUUGAUUUCUCACCUUCUAAAGAACCGUAAUGCCAUUAAUUUGGUGUUACGGGGAAUUAGGACUGUUACCUUGAAAAAAUUAGAGUGUUUAAAGCAGGCUCACGCUUGAAUACAUUAGCAUGGAAUAAUGAAAUAGGACAUCCGAUUCUAUUUUGUUGGUUUCUAGGAUCGAUGUAAUGAUUAAUAGGGAUAGUUGGGGGCAUUAGUAUUCAAUUGUCAGAGGUGAAAUUCUUGGAUUUAUUGAAGACUGACUACUGCGAAAGCAUUUGCCAAGGAUGUUUUCAUUAAUCAAGAACGAAAGUUAGGGGAUCGAAGACGAUCAGAUACCGUCGUAGUCUUAACCAUAAACUAUAGCCGACUAGGGAUCGGAUGAUGUUAAUUUUUAAUGA